rnacentral:rRNA from 1 species
GAUGAACGCUGGCGGCGUGCUUAACACAUGCAAGUCGAACGAAGCACCUUAUUUGAUUUUCUUCGGAAAUGAAGAUCUGGUGACUGAGUGGCGGACGGGUGAGUAACGCGUGGAUAACCUGCCUCACACAGGGGGAUAACAGUUAGAAAUGACUGCUAAUACCGCAUAAGCGCACAGUACCGCAUGGUACGGUGUGAAAAACUCCGGUGGUGUGAGAUGGAUCCGCGUCUGAUUAGCCAGUUGGCGGGGUAAUGGCCCACCAAAGCGACGAUCAGUAGCCGACCUGAGAGGGUGACCGGCCACAGUGGGACUGAGACACGGCCCAAACUCCUACGGGAGGCAGCAGUGGGGAAUAUUGCGCAAGGGGGGAAACCCUGACGCAGCGACGCCGCGUGAGUGAUGAAGUAUUUCGGUAUGUAAAGCUCUAUCAGCAGGGAAGAAAAAAAUGACGGUACCUGACUAAGAAGCCCCGGCUAACUACGUGCCAGCAGCCGCCGUAACAC